AUUUUUUAAGGGGGGGCACAAGGGCUGUUUGACGGGGCAAGACUGGAGACCCAGGCCAGCGCCCCGUACCCUUGUUAGAGGUAAACAGACUGGACAGGUCCCGUGCUUUGGGUUAGGUGCCAUGGUAAGGCCUGGUAUUUUCAGGCCAGUAGGCUCAAUACCAGCACCCCGCACGUGCCAUGGGAAAGUAGGCAUCGAGCCAGCACCGGAGAUGCCAACCCUGCGCUUAAGACUGCCAGUGCGCCUCUACGGUCCGGUGUUUCCCGUUACACGCACUAGCCUUGAGGUGCGUGUCUCUGGGCUGGCACGUCCAGUACCAGCCCCACGCACAAGGCAUCUAGUGCGUAAACCCAGCCUCGCCAGGCAACAGUCACCAGAGCUGCCCGCCAGUCAACAGUCACCAGAGCUGCCCGCCAGUCAACAGUCACCAGAGCUGCCCGCCAGUCAACAGUCACCAGAGCUGCCCGCCAGUCAACAGUCACCAGAGCUGCCCGCCAGUCAACAGUCACCAGAGCUGCCCGCCAGUCAACAGUCACCAGAGCCGCCCGCCAGUCGUAUGUCACCAGAGCCGCCCGCUAGUCAGGAGCCGCCAGAGCCGCCCGCUAGUCAGGAGCCGCCAGAGCCGCCCGCUAGUCAGAAGCUGCCAGAGUGGCCCGACUGCCCGGAACUGCCAGAGUGGCCUGACUGCCCGGAACUGCCAGAGUGGCCCGACUGCCCGGAACUGCCAGAGUGGCCCGACUGCCCUCCGGGCCUGCCAGAGUGGCCCGACUGCCCUCCGGGUCUGCCAGAGUGGCCCGACUGCCCUCCGGGUCAGCCAGAGUGGCCCGACUGCCCUCCGGGCCUGCCAGAGUGGCCCGACUGCCCUCCGGGUCUGCCAGAGUGGCCCGACUGCCCUCCGGGUCUGCCAGAGUGGCCCGACUGCCCUCCGGGUCUGCCAGAGUGGCCCGACUGCCCUCCGGGUCUGCCAGAGUGGCCCGACUGCCCUCCGGGUCUGCCAGAGUGGCCCGACUGCCCUCCGGGUCUGCCAGAGUGGCCCGACUGCCCUCCGGGUCUGCCAGAGUGGCCCGACUGCCCUCCGGGUCUGCCAGAGUGGCCCGACUGCCCUCCGGGCCUGCCAGAGUGGCCCGACUGCCCUCCGGGUCUGCCAGAGUGGCCCGACUGCCCUCCGGGUCUGCCAGAGUGGCCCGACUGCCCUCCGGGUCUGCCAGAGUGGCCCGACUGCCCUCCG
rnacentral:lncRNA from 8 species